UGCCUUUUAGUGUUGCCUGUUCAUUCCACUUGUAAUGGAUAAGGUGUCAACAAAGGCAUACAGCAACUCUUGUGGUGGUUCACAACUCUUGUGGAGAUGUCCACAGUGGCGUCUUAUUCAGGGCUACGACAAGGAUAAGC